UCUCUCUGAGGCCAUUUUCAAUCGUGUGUGGAACCAAUUUGAAGAAAAGGAUAUCGUUGGGAGAGGGGGUGGCGCAGCAAUGUUGCCAGGAGGAAGAUGGCUCCAUCCAUGAGCUGGUCGAGCUCCGGUGUCCUCAUGUCAGGCUUGGCUUGGAGUGCUGACAACGAAGCAUUCUACAUGUUGAUGGUGUCUUCAGCCAUGGCCUUGACCCUUGAGGGGGAGAACGUUGUCGGUGGACCAGACCUGCAAGCAAACCAUCUAUCCGACCAGAACGGGGAAGCUGCAGCCGACUCCAGAGAGGAUGGUGACCACGGCAUAGAGCCAUAGAGGUUGUGGCAGAGCUUGAUCCCGACGCCGACCAUCUGCUUGGCGAGGCAGGGCAGCCUGUUCUGUAAGAAUAUGACGAGUUUGUGAUGGUUUGGUAAGAUGACGAAGAUUCAGAGGGUGAAGAAGAAGUGGCAAGCCACAAGCGUCCCCGCCUGUGCUAGACACUAAAUCAAGUCAAUGGACCAGUUGGCUAGAACUAGAAAUUAAGUGCGUAUAUUUUGUGUUUAUGCCUCUGUGUAUUUUGCUGGAAGCUUAGUGUGUCCAUUGAUGGGAGGAA